rnacentral:tRNA from 1 species
GCCGGGGUACCCUAGCCAGGAAAGGGGCCGGACUCGAGAUCCGGUGGCCUCCGGGCCUCGUGGGUUCAAAUCCCACCCCCGGCG